rnacentral:lncRNA from 1 species
GUUACACUAAAGUUAAUUAGCCAACAAAUGAUUUGACAAUAACUACCUAGUUAUUCAAGUGGUGAACACACUUACCCUCACACUUAUCUGCAUGACUGUUCAGAGGGAAUAAUCAGGACUGUUACUGUACAUGCUUUUGUUCUGAUGUCCAGGCGUGCAUGCUGAGUCAGAGAGACUGAAGGCGUCUCUGGUUGAGACAGCCUGUGAGCUCACAAGGCUCCAGAGAGAGAGUGACAUGCUGAGGGAGGAGAGAGAGAGGCUGACAGAGGGGCUCGCACGCUCUGAGGACAACAACAGGAGCCUGGAGGGCUCACUUAGCUCCACACAGGAAGAGAUAGACAGGUUGAAGGGAGAACUCGAUGCCUAUCAAAAACAGCUCACCAACAGCAAUGAGCUCCUCAAGUCAUUUUGUGAGGAGAUGCAGGGGUCCAAGCAGAUGAGGACAGCUGCAGUCAACCCCACUGCAUCAGAGUUUGGAGGCGGUCUCCCGGACAACCCCAAGCUAAAUCAACUCCUCUCUGAGAUCCAGCGAAUCAGAGCACAGCUUGCCGAUAAGGACACAAUACAGACUAAAGCCACAGAGGAGAAACACCCUGAGCAUUCUGGUUGGCCCGAGUGCCCUCCAACAAACAUCAACAUCAACUAUGUGGAGUGUGGAGCAUCCAGGCAUUCAAGCAGGAGCAGUCCUUCAGGGAGAAGAGAUCAUGCCAAGAAGGACAAUGACAACCUCUCACAAAGCAGCCUUACCUCCAGCAUAGAUGACUCGGUCCCAUCCUUACUGAACAGUAGCCUAUCCCCACUGUGGGCAAAUGACAAGAGCCCUAAUGUCACUGGCCAGGAGGAUGAUUGCAUCAACCUGCAGAGACUGAUAUCAGAAGGGAAGACAAUGACCAAUAAGAUGAGUAGGCUACUACAGGAGUGCCACAACAACAACUCCAAUCCCACAUCACAGUCAGCAGUGGACCAGAAGUACAUCAAGCAUCUCUCAUCUACCAUCGGUGCCUGUCAUCUUCUGAGGCUCCAAGAGAGGCGUUCUCAGAGUGACUCUGUGAAUAUCUACCAGAGCCAAGAGGAUUUCUACUUGGAAAACCUGAAACUGAAGAAUAAAAUUGAGAUAAUGAAGAGGGAGCAAUCUCAAAACAAGAAGAUGCUUUCUGAGGCCGUCAAACGACUGAGAAGAGUGAACCUGGGGAAAGUAGGGAGAGUGAGUGAAUAGCAGCAAAUGAUCAUCAUUCCACUAAGCCAAUCUUUGUUUCAUAGAUUCAAAUAGAAAGAAUGAGAGCUUCCCUCAUCAGUCUUAAUAAAAGAUUGCCAUUGCAAUGCUGUUGUUUCUCUCAAUUCUGUGUUGUAUUUUUGGACAGAUUAAUCAAUGUAGAAAUGUGCCAUAUAAAUUUGACGCACAUGAUAAGCUUAUGCACUGAUGCCACGUUCACGUGCUAGUCGGAACUAGGAAAC